rnacentral:rRNA from 1 species
UACGAAGGGGGGCUAGCGUUGCUCGGAAUUACUGGGCGUAAAGCGCACGUAGGCGGUCUUUUAAGUCGGGGGUGAAAUCCUGGAGCUCAACUCCAGAACUGCCUUCGAUACUGGAAGACUCGAGUCCGGGAGAGGUGAGUGGAACUGCGAGUGUAGAGGUGAAAUUCGUAGAUAUUCGCAAGAACACCAGUGGCGAAGGCGGCUCACUGGCCCGGUACUGACGCUGAGGUGCGAAAGCGUGGGGAGCAAACAGG